UAAGAAAGGGGCUAGCGUGGUUCGGAAUUACUGGGCGUAAAGCGCACGAAGGCGGCCUUGUAAGUUGGGGGUGAAAUCCCGGGGCUCAACUCCGGAACUGCCUUCAAGACUGCAAAGCUAGAGGACGCGAGAGGUUAGCGGAAUUCCGAGUGUAGAGGUGAAAUUCGUAGAUAUUCGGAAGAACACCAGUGGCGAAGGCGGCUAACUGGCGCGUUUCUGACGCUGCGGCGCGAAAGCGUGGUGAGCAAACAGG
rnacentral:rRNA from 1 species